rnacentral:rRNA from 1 species
UACGGGGGGAGCAAGCGUUGUUCGGAUUUACUGGGCGUAAAGGGCGCGUAGGCGGUCAGUGCAAGUCAGUUGUGAAAUCUCCGGGCUUAACUCGGAAAGGUCAACUGAUACUGCUCGACUAGAGUGCGGAAGGGGCAACUGGAAUUCUUGGUGUAGCGGUGAAAUGCGUAGAUAUCUGGAGGAACACCGGUGGCGAAGGCGGCAUCCUGGACCAACACUGACGCUGAGGAGCGAAAGCCAGGGGAGCAAACGGG